rnacentral:rRNA from 1 species
AAAUUGAAGAGUUUGAUCAUGGCUCAGAUUGAACGCUGGCGGCAGGCCUAACACAUGCAAGUCGAACGGUAACAGGAAGCAGCUUGCUGCUUUGCUGACGAGUGGCGGACGGGUGAGUAAUGUCUGGGAAACUGCCUGAUGGAGGGGGAUAACUACUGGAAACGGUGGCUAAUACCGCAUAACGUCGCAAGACCAAAGAGGGGGACCUUCGGGCCUCUUGCCAUCAGAUGUGCCCAGAUGGGAUUAGCUUGUUGGUGAGGUAACGGCUCACCAAGGCGACGAUCCCUAGCUGGUCUGAGAGGAUGACCAGCCACACUGGAACUGAGACACGGUCCAGACUCCUACGGGAGGCAGCAGUGGGGAAUAUUGCACAAUGGGCGCAAGCCUGAUGCAGCCAUGCCGCGUGUAUGAAGAAGGCCUUCGGGUUGUAAAGUACUUUCAGCGGGGAGGAAGGUGUUGUGGUUAAUAACCGCAGCAAUUGACGUUACCCGCAGAAGAAGCACCGGCUAACUCCGUGCCAGCAGCCGCGGUAAUACGGAGGGUGCAAGCGUUAAUCGGAAUUACUGGGCGUAAAGCGCACGCAGGCGGUCUGUCAAGUCGGAUGUGAAAUCCCCGGGCUCAACCUGGGAACUGCAUUCGAAACUGGCAGGCUUGAGUCUUGUAGAGGGGGGUAGAAUUCCAGGUGUAGCGGUGAAAUGCGUAGAGAUCUGGAGGAAUACCGGUGGCGAAGGCGGCCCCCUGGACAAAGACUGACGCUCAGGUGCGAAAGCGUGGGGAGCAAACAGGAUUAGAUACCCUGGUAGUCCACGCCGUAAACGAUGUCUACUUGGAGGUUGUGCCCUUGAGGCGUGGCUUCCGGAGCUAACGCGUUAAGUAGACCGCCUGGGGAGUACGGCCGCAAGGUUAAAACUCAAAUGAAUUGACGGGGGCCCGCACAAGCGGUGGAGCAUGUGGUUUAAUUCGAUGCAACGCGAAGAACCUUACCUGGUCUUGACAUCCACAGAACUUUCCAGAGAUGGAUUGGUGCCUUCGGGAACUGUGAGACAGGUGCUGCAUGGCUGUCGUCAGCUCGUGUUGUGAAAUGUUGGGUUAAGUCCCGCAACGAGCGCAACCCUUAUCCUUUGUUGCCAGCGGUCCGGCCGGGAACUCAAAGGAGACUGCCAGUGAUAAACUGGAGGAAGGUGGGGAUGACGUCAAGUCAUCAUGGCCCUUACGACCAGGGCUACACACGUGCUACAAUGGCGCAUACAAAGAGAAGCGACCUCGCGAGAGCAAGCGGACCUCAUAAAGUGCGUCGUAGUCCGGAUUGGAGUCUGCAACUCGACUCCAUGAAGUCGGAAUCGCUAGUAAUCGUGGAUCAGAAUGCCACGGUGAAUACGUUCCCGGGCCUUGUACACACCGCCCGUCACACCAUGGGAGUGGGUUGCAAAAGAAGUAGGUAGCUUAACCUUCGGGGGGGCGCUUACCACUUUGUGA